CACCCCGUUUAGCCGGAAUAGUACGUCUAAAUGCUGAAACAACGUUUGAUUUUGGCCCAUUAAUAAGAAGUGGAUAUUGACUUCCCUUCCACUCAGCUACAGUAACACUUCUGUUCAUUUUUUUUUCUUUGCCAGAAAACUAGAAGUGCCUUUGAAUUAACUAAUAGCUCUAGGGAAAAGUUGGAGGGGAAGAGAGGGGACGGGACGGGAGAGGAGAGAGAGGCGAUGCAUGGGUUAACACUAAACCGUGAAAAGGAGGAGGAGGAGACCCGGGGGGGAGGCGACAAAGGGGGGCUUGGCGCGCGUAUAAAAGCGUCUGCCGCCGCUUCCACACGUUGCAUCUCAAACGAAGUAGUAGCUCCGAUUGGAGGUGAGGACGGGACGGGUAGGCGAGCAUCCGACAUGGGUACAGCGUUGGCUACGAGGCUCGGCUUGGGGCUUUUGCUCUUAGCGCUUCUUCUACCCACUCAGACAAGUGGCAGUAAUGGGACAACCGCAUUGGCCUCUAAUAAUUCAAGUCCAACUUCUCUGCCACUUAGCACACUGAACAGUACCACCCCGGCACAUGGAAACUCUCUUCAAUCAACUACUGGCCUCUUCAUUCUCUCAAUCUCUCUUCUGUAUAUUUGUUAGGACAUGCGGGCUGGGAAACUCACCAUCAUUCCUUGACCCACUCUCCUGAACCACCUGAGAUGGCUAGACCUUCCUAUCCCAGCAUGAAAAAGAACCACAAAAAGCCUACAUUGAGCCAGUGCAGUUUAUGCGGCAGUUCAGUUAUUGGUGUAUCAAUCUGACCAAGAGUGAUACUCACUCACAAUCUGAUGAUCCAAAGCCAUCCUCCCCUGAACAAUUUAACCACCAAGAGCCGGAAGACAGUACGUGGGCUUCAAAAUUCAAGAGCUGGAAUUGGAAAUACAAGACUGGAAAUACUAGACAAGAAGUAUAACUUGAUCAGCCAUGGAUAAGGCCUACCAUGAAAAAUCUGAGUGAGAUGAUAAAGCUACACUAAAUAAAGGCUCUUUAAUGGAAAUUAAUCUUAUAAAA
rnacentral:lncRNA from 1 species